UACGAAGGGGGGCUAGCGUUGCUCGGAAUCACUGGGCGUAAAGCGCACGUAGGCGGAUUGCUAAGUCAGGGGUGAAAUCCUGGAGCUCAACUCCAGAACUGCCUUUGAUACUGGCGACCUUGAGUCCGGGAGAGGUGAGUGGAACUGCGAGUGUAGAGGUGAAAUUCGUAGAUAUUCGCAAGAACACCAGUGGCGAAGGCGGCUCACUGGCCCGAUACUGACGCUGAGGCACGAAAGCGUGGGGAGCGAACAGG
rnacentral:rRNA from 1 species